rnacentral:rRNA from 1 species
GAUGAACGCAGGCGGCGUGCUUAACACAUGCAAGUCGAACGGACUUUAAAUGAAGCCUAGCGAUUUUAAAGUUAGUGGCGGACGGGUGAGUAACGCGUGGGUAACCUGCCGUAUACAGGGGGAUAACAGUUAGAAAUAGGUGCUAAUACCGCAUAAGCGAACAGCUUUGGAUGAAGCAGUGUGAAAAACUCCGGUGGUAUACGAUGGACCCGCGUCUGAUUAGCUAGUUGGUGAGGUAACGGCCCACCAAGGCGACGAUCAGUAGCCGGCCUGAGAGGGUGAACGGCCACAUUGGGACUGAGACACGGCCCAAACUCCUACGGGAGGCAGCAGUGGGGAAUAUUGCACAAUGGGGGAAACCCUGAUGCAGCGACGCCGCGUGAGUGAAGAAGUAUUUCGGUAUGUAAAGCUCUAUCAGCAGGGAAGAAAAUGACGGUACCUGACUAAGAAGCUCCGGCUAAAUACGUGCCAGCCGCCGCUGUAAUAC